ACUACGGGAGGCAGCAGUAGGGAAUAUUGCUCAAUGGGGGAAACCCUGAAGCAGCAACGCCGCGUGGAGGAUGAAGGUUUUCGGAAUGUAAGCUCCUAUUGUUAGAGAAGAGAAUGACGGUAUCUAACGAAUAAGCACCGGCUAACUCCGUGCCAGCAGCCGCGGUAAUACGGGGGGUGCAAGCGUUACUCGGAAUCACUGGGCGUAAAGAGAGCGUAGGCGGGAUGGCAAGUCAGAUGUGAAAUCCUCUGGCUUAACCAUAGAACUGCAUUUGAAACUGUUAUUCUAGAGUAUGGGAGAGGUAGGUGGAAUUCUUGGUGUAGCGGUGAAAUCCGUAGAGAUCAAGAGGAAUACUCAUUGCGAAGGCGACCUGCUAGACCAUAACUGACGCUGAUGCGCGAAAGCGUGGGGAGCAAACAGGAUUAGAUACCCCAGUAGUC
rnacentral:rRNA from 1 species